rnacentral:telomerase_RNA from 1 species
UGGAGACCGCCUCCGCAAGGUCUGCGCUGCGCCGCGGACGCCCGGCUGCCACGUAGAGGCGGCGGCCGUCGUCGGGCCCCGCGUGCGGGCGCCCACUGCGGCCGCCAAGAGCUCGUCUCUGUCAGCCUCGGGUGCACGUGGGCCCGCGGUCGAGCCCUAAGGCCGGGCGUGGGGCUGGGGUCGCAGGGAGAGUAACCGUGAGCCGGCGCCCAGCCUUCAGGGCGCUCCCUCGAGCUAUGGGAGCUGCCCCCGGGCACGGCUCAGACACCC